UUAAGCGACCAAGCGUACACGGUGGAUGCCCUGGCAGUCAGAGGCGAUGAAGGACGUGCUAAUCUGCGAAAAGCGCCGGCGAGGUGAUAUGAACCCUUGACCCGGCGAUGUCCGAAUGGGGAAACCCAGUGUGACUCGUCACACUAUCAUUAACUGAAUCCAUAGGUUAAUGAGGCGAACCGGGGGAACUGAAACAUCUAAGUACCCCGAGGAAAAGAAAUCAACCGAGAUUCCCCCAGUAGCGGCGAGCGAACGGGGAGGAGCCCAGAGCCUGAAUCAGCAGGUGUGUUAGUGGAAGCGUCUGGAAAGGCGCGCGAUACAGGGUGAGAGCCCCGUACACGAAAAUGCACCUGGUGUGAGCUCGAUGAGUAGGGCGGGACACGUGGUAUCCUGUCUGAAUAUGGGGGGACCAUCCUCCAAGGCUAAAUACUCCUGACUGACCGAUAGUGAACCAGUACCGUGAGGGAAAGGCGAAAAGAACCCCGGCGAGGGGAGUGAAAAAGAACCUGAAACCGUGUACGUACAAGCAGUGGGAGCACAGGUUUACCUGUGUGACUGCGUACCUUUUGUAUAAUGGGUCAGCGACUUAUAUUCUGUAGCAAGGUUAACCGAAUAGGGGAGCCGGAGGGAAACCGAGUCUUAAUUGGGCGUUAAGUUGCAGGGUAUAGACCCGAAACCCGGUGAUCUAGCCAUGGGCAGGUUGAAGGUUGGGUAACACUAACUGGAGGACCGAACCGACUAAUGUUGAAAAAUUAGCGGAUGACCUGUGGCUGGGGGUGAAAGGCCAAUCAAACCGGGAGAUAGCUGGUUCUCCCCGAAAGCUAUUUAGGUAGCGCCUCGUGAACUCAUCUCCGGGGGUAGAGCACUGUUUCGGCUAGGGGGCCAUCCCGGCUUACCAACCCGAUGCAAACUGCGAAUACCGGAGAAUGUUAUCACGGGAGACACACGGCGGGUGCUAACGUCCGUCGUGAAGAGGGAAACAACCCAGACCGCCAGCUAAGGUCCCAAAGUCAUGGUUAAGUGGGAAACGAUGUGGGAAGGCCCAGACAGCCAGGAUGUUGGCUUAGAAGCAGCCAUCAUUUAAAGAAAGCGUAAUAGCUCACUGGUCGAGUCGGCCUGCGCGGAAGAUGUAACGGGGGCUAAACCAUGCACCGAAGCUGCGGCAGCGGCACGCAAGUGUUGUUGGGUAGGGGAGCGUUCUGUAAGCCGUUGAAGGUGUGCUGUGAGGCAUGCUGGAGGUAUCAGAAGUGCGAAUGCUGACAUAAGUAAACGAUAAAGCGGGUGAAAAGCCCGCUCGCCGGAAGACCAAGGGUUCCUGUCCAACGUUAAUCGGGGCAGGGUGAGUCGACCCCUAAGGCGAGCCGAAAGGCGUAGUCGAUGGGAAACGGGUUAAUAUUCCCGUACUUGGUGUUACUGCGAAGGGGGGACGGAGAAGGCUAUGUUGGCCGGGCGACGGUUGUCCCGGUUUAAGCGUGUAGGCUGGUUUUCCAGGCAAAUCCGGAAAAUCAAGGCUGAGGCGUGACGACGAGGCACCACGGUGCUGAAGCAACAAAUGCCCUGCUUCCAGGAAAAGCCUCUAAGCGUCAGGUAACAUCAAAUCGUACCCCCAAACCGACACAGGUGGUCAGGUAGAGAAUACCAAGGCGCUUGAGAGAACUCGGGUGAAGGAACUAGGCAAAAUGGUGCCGUAACUUCGGGAGAAGGCACGCUGACAUGUAGGUGAAGCGGUUUACCCGUGGAGCUGAAGUCAGUCGAAGAUACCAGCUGGCUGCAACUGUUUAUUAAAAACACAGCACUGUGCAAACACGAAAGUGGACGUAUACGGUGUGACGCCUGCCCGGUGCCGGAAGGUUAAUUGAUGGGGUCAGCGGUAACGCGAAGCUCCUGAUCGAAGCCCCGGUAAACGGCGGCCGUAACUAUAACGGUCCUAAGGUAGCGAAAUUCCUUGUCGGGUAAGUUCCGACCUGCACGAAUGGCGUAAUGAUGGCCAGGCUGUCUCCACCCGAGACUCAGUGAAAUUGAACUCGCUGUGAAGAUGCAGUGUACCCGCGGCAAGACGGAAAGACCCCGUGAACCUUUACUAUAGCUUGACACUGAACACUGGUCCUUGAUGUGCAGGAUAGGUGGGAGGCUUUGAAGCGUGGACGCCAGUCUGCGUGGAGCCAUCCUUGAAAUACCACCCUUUAAUGGCUGGUUGUUCUAACGUGGGCCCCUGACCGGGGUUGCGGACAGUGUCUGGUGGGUAGUUUGACUGGGGCGGUCUCCUCCCAAAGAGUAACGGAGGAGCACGAAGGUUGGCUAAUCCUGGUCGGACAUCAGGAGGUUAGUGCAAUGGCAUAAGCCAGCUUGACUGCGAGCGUGACGGCGCGAGCAGGUGCGAAAGCAGGUCAUAGUGAUCCGGUGGUUCUGAAUGGAAGGGCCAUCGCUCAACGGAUAAAAAGGUACUCCGGGGAUAACAGGCUGAUACCGCCCAAGAGUUCAUAUCGACGGCGGUGUUUGGCACCCUCGAUGUCGGCUCAUCACAUCCUGGGGCUGAAGUAGGUCCCAAGGGUAUGGCUGUUCGCCAUUUAAAGUGGUACGCGAGCUGGGUUUAGAACGUCGUGAGACAGUUCGGUCCCUAUCUGCCGUGGGCGCUGGAAGAUUGAGGGGGGCUGCUCCUAGUACGAGAGGACCGGAGUGGACGCAUCACUGGUGUUUCGGGUUGUCAUGCCAAUGGCACUGCCCGGUAGCUAAAUGCGGAAGAGAUAAGUGCUGAAAGCAUCUAAGCACGAAACUUGCCCCGAGAUGAAUCUUCCCUGAGACUUUAAGUCUCCUGAAGGAACGUUGAAGACGACGACGUUGAUAGGCCGGGUGUGUAAGCGCAGCGAUGCGUUGAGCUAACCGGUACUAAUGAACCGUGAGGCUUAACCUU
rnacentral:rRNA from 1 species